rnacentral:lncRNA from 1 species
UCCCCCUCUUUGGAAGAAAUUUUGUGAGAGUUUGCUACUAGUUUCAAUGAAUCAAAAAAAGAUCCUCUUUCUAGUUUUAUAGUAAAAAAUGAAAGAAGAAAAGUUCUUCUUAAUGAGAGGAAGAGAAGGAAGAAGAAAGGUUUUCUUUUUGUGCACAGUCUUGAAGAAAAAAAAAUUCUUCUCUCAAUUUUUUUUAUUUUUUUGGUAUGAAAGUUAGAUU